rnacentral:tRNA from 1 species
UGAAGUGUAGCUCAGGGGUAGGGUGCUUGCCUAGCAUGCAUGAGACCCUGGGUUCAACCCUCAGCACUGCAA